CAGAGAGGCCUCACCCCAUGGUUACCACCCCCACAGACCCAACAGAAUACUGCCAGGCUACUGCAGAUGUUCCAUUAAGGCCUAGGGGCUUUUUAGUCAGCGUAUGGUGAAUGCUGCCUGGCCCAGAACUCAACAUUCAGAGCAGUGGGAUCCCCUCUGGCCUAGGAUAGGUCCAGAAAAGCCAAGGGCUGGAAUUGAGGAUCCCAGGAGCCCACUUGGUGCUUUACACCCCUGUGGCUGAACUGGUACCUAAGGUGCAAGACAAAGUCCUCUUUACUUUUUCUUCUGCUUUUCUCACGCAAAAAAGUUUCAUGUGAAGCCAGCAAGUCUCAGAUUCUCUCUCAGGGCCCACAGUGUCCUACCUGGAUACCACUGCUGGUUAUUCAGGGCACAAGGGCUCUUUAGUAAGCAAGUAAUGGAUCCUGACAGGACUGGGCUUUUUCACUUGAAGGCAGCAGGUUUCCUUUUGGCACAGGGUAUGUCUAGAAAUGUCAUCUGGGAGCUAGGGCCUGGAAAGGGGGCCUCACAACUCUGGCUGGUGCUGUAUCCUACUGUGGCCGAGCUGGUGCAAAUUAAAAUAUUAAACUGAACUUCCUCGUAAAGAGUUG
rnacentral:lncRNA from 10 species